rnacentral:rRNA from 1 species
GUAAGGAAUAUUGGUCAAUGGGCGAAAGCCUGAACCAGCCAUGCCGCGUGGAGGAUGAAUGCCCUCUGGGUUGUAAACUCCUUUUAUCUGGGAAGAAACCCGCGAUUUCUAUUGCGGUUGACGGUACCAGUUGAAUAAGCACCGGCUAACUCCGUGCCAGCAGCCGCGGUAAUACGGAGGGUGCAAGCGUUAUCCGGAUUCACUGGGUUUAAAGGGUGCGUAGGCGGGCAGGUAAGUCAGUGGUGAAAUCUCCGAGCUUAACUUGGAAACUGCCGUUGAUACUAUUUGUCUUGAAUGUCGUGGAGGUAGGCGGAAUAUGUCAUGUAGCGGUGAAAUGCUUAGAUAUGACAUAGAACACCAAUUGCGAAGGCAGCUUACUACACGAUGAUUGACGCUGAGGCACGAAAGCGUGGGGAUCAAACAGGAUUAGAUACCCUUGUAGUCC